rnacentral:rRNA from 1 species
CCAGCUAAAAGUUGGAGGAAGAGGGGAUGACGUCAAAUCCUCAUGGCCUUUAUGUCCAGGGCUACACACAUGCGACAAUGGUCGGUACAACGGGUUGCAACACCGCGAGGUGAAGCCAAUCCCUAAAAACCGACCUCAGUUCAGAUUGCAGACUGCAAUUCGUCUACAUGAAGAUGGAGUUGCUAGUAACCGCGGGUCAGCUACACCGCGGUGAAUAUGUUCCCGGGCCUU